AGGCAGGAGGGCCCCAAGGGAAGCAGAAGGUGACAGAAGGGGAAAGGGUCCUCUGAUCAUUGCUCACCCCACAGAGAUCUUGAAAGGAGGGGUCUUGAUCGAGCGGAACCCCCAGCUCUGCUACCAGGACACGAUUUUGUGGAAGGACAUCUUCCACAAGAACAACCAGCUGGCUGUCACACUGAUAGACACCAACCGCUCUCGGGCCUGCCACCCCUGUUCUUCGGUGUGUAAGGGCUCCCGCUGCUGGGGAGAGAGUUCUGAGGAUUGUCAGAGCCUGACGCGCACUGUCUGUGCCGGUGGCUGUGCCCGCUGCAAGGGGCCACUGCCCACUGACUGCUGCCAUGAGCAGUGUGCUGCCGGCUGCACGGGCCCCAAGCACUCUGACUGCCUGGCCUGCCUCCACUUCAACCACAGUGGCAUCUGUGAGCUGCACUGCCCAGCCCUGGUCACCUACAACACAGA
rnacentral:sRNA from 1 species